rnacentral:rRNA from 1 species
AAGGANCAUUANNAGAAGUUAACUGGAGUUGUAGCUGGCUGCUUUUGUGGCAGUAUUGUGCUCGCUUCAUUCUUCUUUUUCCACCUGUGCACCUUUUGUAGGCUAUGUUACCGUUAUCGCGCGUUAGAGUGUGAAGGGGUGUUAAUCCUUUCACUGCUUCCAGUUGAUUCAUUUCGACAAGCAAGUCUAUUCGCCGGAUUAAUCGUGCGCUAGAAUAAGGAACUAACCAUUCCUUUGCUUCCAGUUGGAUUUUUAUAUCCAACAAGCAAGUCUUUCGCCGGAUAUCGAGUGGCUUGGAAACUUCCACUUGAACCUCAUAGCCUAUGUUUUUAUACACUAUUUUAAAAACCUAGAAUGUAUUUUGUGGGUCUUGUACCUAUAAACUUUAUACAACUUUUAACAACGGAUCUCUUGGCUCUCGCAUCGAUGAAGAACGCAGCGAAAUGCGAUAAGUAAUGUGAAUUGCAGAAUUCAGUGAAUCAUCGAAUCUUUGAACGCACCUUGCGCCCUUUGGUAUUCCGAAGGGCAUGCCUGUUUGAGUGUCAUUAAAUUCUCAAACCUCUAUUGGCUUUUUUUGGUCGAUUUUAGAGGCUUUGGAUAUGGGAGUCUUUGCUGGAACCUAUUUAUUUAGGGGGUCAGCUCUCCUUAAAUGCAUUAGCGGUUAACUUGAUCCCCUUUCAUUGGUGUGAUAAUUAUCUACGCCUCUUGAAAUGAUCAGCAGAAUGUUAAUAGCUUCUAACCAGUCCCUUUGUCGGACAAUUUAUUGACUAUUUGACCUCAAAUCAGGUAGGACUACCCGCUGAACUUAAGCAUAUCNNNNAA